ACCGUAGGGAAGGCCGAGGGUGGAGACGGCGUGAGGAUGGGCGGGACAGGGUGCGGCUCUGGCGGCUGUAGAAUCUCCUCCUUCACGUCGCCCUCCACCUGAUUACUGAGAGAAGAAAGAAAACAUGAGCGCCGAACAUUCAUGCAGUUUCAGACGCUGUUCCUUCAUCACUGCGCUCUGAGAGUUCAAGGGUCAAUUCUGGAGGCGUCUUACCUGCGGAUACGAGGCGGUUUGGGAGGCGGCGUGUCCCAUCGUUCCUCGUCUGAAUUCUGACCGAGUUUUUCUGGGCUGCCCUCUUCCUGUGGUUGCAUCUCUUCUCUGAUGGCGAGGGCGGGGCAACCUGUCACUCAUAUAAGAGGUCAUGAUGCUGCUCUUUCUAAACACAAUAUCAUCAGACACAAGCAGAUCCGAUACCUGCAAUGGACGCAGAUGGGAACGUCGUCAUGCUCCUGAUAUUCCCUCAUCAGAGCGAUCAUGUCCAAUAUGGAAUCGAAUGAUGACGGGACGUCGUGAUCAGGCC